rnacentral:rRNA from 1 species
AGCGAACGUUGGCGGCGUGGCUUAGACAUGCAAGUCGAGCGGAAAGGCCCCGCAAGGGGCACUCGAGCGGCGAACGGGAGAGUAACACCUGGGUAACCUGCCCCGGAAACCGGGAUAGCCACUGGAAACGGUGGGUAAUACCGGAUGGUCCCCGCGCGUCGAUGACGUGCGGGGUAAAGGGACUUCUGUUCCGGGAGGGGCCCAGGCCCCAUUAGCUAGUUGGUGAGGUAACGGCUCACCAAGGCGACGAUGGGUAGCGGGCCUAGA